rnacentral:lncRNA from 1 species
AAACUAAGAAGUAUGAAAAUUAUAAUAAAAUUAUUUUUUAUUAAUCAAAUAAAGAAGUGUACAUAAAGAAAAGAAAUAAAAUUACGAUACAAGACAACUAAACCAAGUUGAUCUUCUCGCUAUGUUCGAUGGUGAUGUACUUCCUUAAAUCCUUUCGUCUUCCUCCGUGCAGACAGCAGCAAGAUGGCUGGAAGGCUUGGUACAAGAAUUUCAAGGAAGAAAGUAGAUGGAGUAUAAAAAUAUGAAAAAGAAAGGAUAGCGGCACUAGGAUUAGGACCUCUCCUAGAUUUAUUGGAAGGUGUACUAAAGUUAGUACCUCUCCUAGACUUAUAGAGAAGAAAGGAGAGAUGGGGGCAAUAGCUCAGAGAGAAACUUAGGGUUGGCUUGAUGGGAAGAGAGAAAGAAAAGAAUUUUAAUAGAAGAGAGAAGGAGGAGAUGAUCCCCACAAGGGGGCUGAUGUCUUGAGAAAGAAGGGCUAGGGAUGCUAUUUAUAGAGUAGGGAGGCUAGGAUUUCAUGAAAAGAAAGGUGAAAGCGUGAAUAAGGAUCCUUGAAUCUUCAUAUUGAUUCUCCUCUGUUGAUCUUUAAGUCGUGUUCACACUGGAAUGGGAGCUGGUUGCUUGGUUCACUCAAGUCUGAUCCAAUUUGAGUCUAAUUUGAGUCAUAUAAAUCCAAACUCUCAAUUAUCUACAAAAUAGACUAGAGAGAAUCAAAUUUCAAUAAAAUAACAUCAAUUAUUAUAAUAUUUAGUGCCUCUAGUGACUUAAAUUAAGUAUUCAUCACACCCUCCAACUUGAACUUUUACUUGUUCUCGAGUGAAAUAGAUACAUUAGCAUUGUGCACUAAAUUAUCCUUGAAUUAAAAGUUAUCCUGGACAUUCCUAACUGUAGUUGAUAUCCGACUAGACCAUUAAUGAGGUACUUCAUUGGAUUAUCAAUUCGACUCAAUUAAUGGUUGAGCAUUAGCUAGCCAUAAAAAUUUUUAAAGAUUUUUUUUCAUCAAUUUUUCACUCUACUCUUUAAGUCUUCUAACUUGAUGUGAGUAGAGUUUAUUGUCUUCUUAUAAUUUAGUCUCCUUAUUUUUUUUUCUUCUUUUUUUUUAUAGAAAUAUUUACAUGUACAGUCAGUACAAUGUCCUAACCCCUUAAGCUUUCUAAUUGACUCUUGUAGCGAGCUUUAGGCCAAUAACUUCCAAACCAGUUGACUUUAGGGUAUUAGGUGUAAAACACCCCUCAGGUNNNNNNNNNNNNNNNNNNNNGACGCGAACAACAAUGCUUACUUAGGCGAGGAGAUCCGAUUACUUAGUGAGAAAUGUUAAAAAUCGUUUUUUUUUAUUUUAUCUUUUUUAUAAUAAAAAAAUUUUACAUACCUCGAUCUUUCCAUCCAUACCCCUAUAUAACAGAUUCUUCAUUGAGAGGGUGGGAAGAGGAUUCUAGAAUCACUCUAAAAUUUAAUGUGGUCUAAAUUCUCCCAUUAAUCAGGCAUCCUUAAUAAUUUCUUCCUUAAUAUCUCUAAAAUUAUCUAGACCGUUAAUCACUCAUUGAUUAGGGUGCCUAGUUAACUUCAAAUCGAGAUAAAAUUUAGAUAUACAAAACUAAUUAUUUCUGACCAUAUUCGAGGAUUUAAUUAAAUUAGUUAUUCUCUCCACCAACUUAAUUUUCAUUGUCCCCAAUGAAAGAAGAGAAUCAUAAUAAAAUAUAAUAAGGAAGGAUACCACCUGAGUUGAAUGCGUGCAUUCAUUGUUGAGAGAUCCUUCAUUGCUGGGUGUGGUGUGUUCUUGAUUUCAGCUGGUGUGAACGUGGCUCUCCCUCCAACUUAGCUAUUAGCAUCACUUAUCCACUCCACUAUAGAGAUUCAACUUGGCUAAUUAUUUUUUUCGAGAUUCCUAUAAAAUGAAAAAAAAAUAAAAAUAUUGCAUAAGUUGGGUUGCCUCCCAAAAAAUGCUAAGUUUAACGGCUUUAGUUGGACACUAUGAGAGAGUCCCUCCUAUAACUAACUUGGGUACGUCCCUCAAAGAGUCAAAAGGACAGAGCCAAUCAGGAGGCCUUGUUAUCAUGGCAGAAAAACAUCCGUAGAGUGUUCUAUGACGAUUAACCCGAACCAAUAGAUGUACUAGACAAGCAUGCAAUUUCGGGGACUAACAAUAUUCUUAUAAUUUUUUUGAUGAUUGAAAAGAGAUUGUGUUUGUUGAAUCGAGAUUAAGGUUGGUAGUUUAAAAGUUUCUUCAAUUAUAACUUGAUCUACUCUAAUUUCUAUCGCGGAUAUGAUAUGUUUUAUCAUCAUCUCUUCCUAAUCUAUAACAUGGCACUUUUUCUAAAUUAACAUUAAAUCUGUCUCUAUAUAUUGUUUUAACACCACAAAAAGAUUUUGGAGACGGUCAUUGAAAGUAAUGCCAAAGAUUUUAGAUAAAUCAGUUAUAAAAAUCUCAAUAUCAUCAUCUCUCAUUUCAAAGAUAUCCCAUCCAAUAGUUUUUUUAUGUACUUUUAGAAUACUUAUAAGUUGGGCUUCCUGAUUAGGGAUCGCUAGAGGGGUGUCAGUAGGUGCGUCAGGAAGUGGCUUCAGUUCUAGAGCAGGUGGUGAUUCUAAUAAGAAAGCUAUUGAAAGGUGAGGUGAUGGCUCAUAUUUUUUGAUCCAAAGUAGGAUGGUUUUAGGAUAGGGUAUAUCGACUAGAUCAUUUAUUUUUGUGAUAUCUCCAUCGACAUCAAAAUCGUCCACCUCGAAGUGAGCUAAACAGGGAUCUAAAGAAUCUUAGAAGAGAAUUAUGGGUGUAAUUUUUUUUAUUAUUUAUUCAUUUGUGGUCCUUAGAAAGUCUCAAUUAAUUUUAUUUUAUCAAUUUGUCUAUCCUUCCCAUAAAAAAAAGUGGGUGAUUCUAGGACAUUUGAAAAGAGGGCGAUAGGUAAGUAGAAUAAUGAUGGAAUUGAUUUGUCCUAUCAUUUGAAUUUUUCUCUAGAUAUUUCUGUCUUAGUGAAAUUAUUUAUAUUAAUCGUUUUGGUUGUGCAGGAUUGUUUUAGGAUCAUUUUAUUUCAGACAAUCAUAAUCGAUUGUUCUGAAAAAAUUACAGAGAUAUUAAAAUUUUUAGUCAGAUAUUGUCUCUCAGGAUCACUCUCAGGCUGACUAAGCAGCUCUUCUUCCUCUUUCCUACUAGUUGUAAUUGCUGAUUGAUCGACUUGAAUUUCUAUUUCGGCUAAGGAUUGUAUAGAGGAGUGAAGAAGCUGAUUGGUGCUUUCAAUCAUAUCUAGUGCUUGCAGAAUCUUCUCUUCAAAUGAUGGGCUAUAAAUAGUUGGAGAAGGUUGAUAUUGUGAAUAGGAUAAGUCGUAAUAAGAUGCUUCUACAAACUUAGAUCCUUGUGUUGUCGGGUACUCACUGGGUGUGAGUUCUACGAAAAAUUUGGUUGAACCCCCCAACCUGGAUUGUAAUCGUUUAAGAAUAGAUUAUUUUCUAGUUCGUAGGCUAUUUGGAUUUGAUCUUGAUGAACUUGCUUAUACCUAAACUCAAAAAAAUUGGUGCACAAUUAGGCAUUCAACUUGUGCAGGAAGAAAAGAUGUAGAGAGAGUAUGUCUAAUAGCUGACAGGCAAUCUAAUUUAUAAGACAGCUCAUCAUUUCUAUUGUAGAAAUCUAUAUUUCUAGCACAGAUUUAAUUUAUCGGAUUGUUCUUGAUUGAUUUUAAAAGAUCUAUGUCUAGAUUAGAAUAAUCCCCUUCUAAUUUUUUUUUUAAGGAAGAAGGAGAGAAGAUGAAGAAGAGAAGAGUAAGAAAGAGAGAAGUUCUAAAUAUGAGAACCCUAAGAGUCCUAAAUCUAGAGAUGAUAGAUACGAAGAUUAUUUUUUAUUUUUUUAUAUUUCAGAUAAGUGAUGUAUUCAAAUCAACUCUAUCCUAGGAUUAAUCUAGAUCUAGACAGCUUCUAACUGCCAAGGUCAUCUUUGAGCACUCCAAGUAAAAGGCUAGCCACUUAAUUGGUCAGGUAAGUGUAAGGUUGGUGGGGGUCCUCUGUUAUUUUCUUUAGACACCAACUGCAUUGAUCACGAACGGAACUAAUUAAUGAACCACCUUCCUUCGGGACGUAAUCUCUGAACCAUUUUUCUAAACAUCAGUUAAACUGACUAACCUAAAUCCAGUCCAACUUUUAGGGUUUCUUGUCCUACUGAGCUCAAAGAUCCUUAGGGUCAACAUCUAAUCGAUUUUAAAUUAGAGAUUUAGGUUAAUCAAUUGCAAGAUGAUGGUUUAUGGGUCAAGAAAGGGUGAUGAAAUCCUCACUUUAUGUUGAUUAAGAUUUUGCCUUUAAGAUUUUUGAUGAAAAUAUGCAAUGCAAAAAGAAAAAGUAUCCAAAUAUGUUAAGUAGCUUUUAAGAUUUAAUUGAUUUAUUUAUAUUAGUUAAGUGUUAUGUGGUAUCUUUGUAUUCUUUUUAUAUUAUGUUAUCUUUAAGCAAAAAGGAAUAAAAGGUAAGUUUUAAAUUAGGUUAAUUAGGUAUGAGAAGAUCUAGUAAAUCUAAUUAAAUAGAAAGUAAAUAAUGCUAAGACUAAAAAGCAAGCAGGUAACCUAUAAAUAAGACAAUAAAUCAAAUCUACUUUUAAAAUAAUAAAUUAUUCUAAACUAUGAGAAGUAGUAAAUCAUUAGGAAUAAUGGGCAAUAAUAAAUAAGGUAACUACUUAACUAUGCAAAUAAAAUAAUCUCAUAGUUAAGAAUAAAAGGUAACUACGUAAUCUAAAUAAAAGGUAAAGAAUCUAAUCUACUUAGGAAGCAGAAAAUCAUGAAUUAUAUAAAGCAGUAAAUUAUUCUAAGCUAUGGAAAGCAGUAAGUCACUAGACUAUAAAAAGCAAAAAUUUUUCUAUGCAUGUAUAUAAAGUAAAUCUACUAUAUAUGAAAAGCAAUAUGAGGCAAAAAUUUUAAAAAAUAAAUAGAAGGUAAUUAAGUAAUUAAAGUAAAUUAAUCAAUAAUAAAAGAUAAAUUACUAAUUAACAAAGUAAAGUACGAAAAGUAAGAGUGUAAGAGAAGAAAAUAAUCAAUUAGAAAUAUAAAGCAGUAAAGCAUAUGAGGUAGUUAAGCAAUCUAAAGUAAGAAAUAACAAUUUAGAAAGUAGUAAAAAUUUUUUAUUAUUUUUAAAGAUUUUUUUUGAUUUUUUUUUAAACAAUUGCACCAAGAUCUCCUGCAAUGGCACUAAAAUUUGAUGCGGGUUGUAGCACACUAAAAUUAACCCUACUCACUACUAUGUAGAUAGGGUGAGUCGAGAUCAUAUCCGUAAGAAUCUUAGUUGAUUGUUUUGAAAAUACAAAAGAAAAGAAUAAUAGAUUANNNNNNNNNNNNNNNNNNNNCUUUUCACUGCAUCUGAUGGUAGAUGUGCUUUCUUAAAUCCUUUCAUCUUUUUCCAUGCAGACAGUAGUAAGAUGGUUGGAAGGCUUGGUACAGGAACUUCAAGGAAGAAAGGUAGACGGAGUAUGGAAAUAUGGAAAAGAAAGGAUAGUGGCACUAGGAUUAGGAUCUCUUCUAAAUUUGUUGGAAGGUGUGGUAGGGUUAGUACCUCCCUUAGACUUAUAGAGAAGAAAGGAGAGAUGGGGGCAACAGCUCGAAGAGAAAUUUAGGGUUGGCUUGAUGGGAAGAGAGAAAGAAAAGAGUUUUAAUGGAGGAGAGAAGGAGGAGAUGAUCCCCAUAAGGAGACUGAUGUCUUGAGAAAGGAGGGUUAGGGAUGCUAUUUAUAGAGUAGGAAGGCUAGGAUUUCAUGAAAAGAG